UGGGGAAUAUUGCACAAUGGGCGAAAGCCUGAUGCAGCAACGCCGCGUGAGUGAUGAAGGUCUUCGGAUUUGUAAAGCUCUGUCUUUUGGGACGAUAAUGACGGUACCAAAGGAGGAAGCCACGGCUAACUACGUGCCAGCAGCCGCGGUAAUACGUAGGUGGCGAGCGUUGUCCGGAUUUACUGGGCGUAAAGGGUGCGUAGGCGGAUGUUUAAGUGAGAUGUGAAAUACCCGGGCUUAACUUGGGUGCUGCAUUUCAAACUGGAUAUCUAGAGUGCAGGAGAGGAGAAUGGAAUUCCUAGUGUAGCGGUGAAAUGCGUAGAGAUUAGGAAGAACACCAGUGGCGAAGGCGAUUCUCUGGACUGUAACUGACGCUGAGGCACGAAAGCGUGGGUAGCAAACAGGAUUAGAUACCCUGGUAGUCCACGCCGUAAACGAUGAGUACUAGGUGUAGGAGGUAUCGACCCCUUCUGUGCCGCAGUAAACACAUU
rnacentral:rRNA from 1 species